rnacentral:rRNA from 1 species
GUGAGGAAUAUUGGACAAUGGGCGCAAGCCUGAUCCAGCCAUGCCGCGUGCAGGAAGACGCAUCUAUGGUGUGUAAACUGCUUUUGUACGGGAAGAAACACUCCCUCGUGAGGGAGCUUGACGGUACCGUAAGAAUAAGGAUCGGCUAACUCCGUGCCAGCAGCCGCGGUAAUACGGAGGAUCCAAGCGUUAUCCGGAAUCAUUGGGUUUAAAGGGUCCGUAGGCGGUUUAAUAAGUCAGUGGUGAAAGCCCAUCGCUCAACGAUGGGACGGACAUUGAUACUGUUAGAGUUGAAUUACAAUGAAGUAGCUAGAAUAUGUAGUGUAGCGGUGAAAUGCUUAGAUAUUACAUGGAAUACCAAUUGCGAAGUCAGGUUACUACUUGUGGAUUGACGCUGAUGGACGAAAGCGUGGGGAGCGAACAGGAUUAGAAACCCGUGUAGUCC